GCCUAGGUAGCUUAGUUGGUAGUGCGUCUGCCUUGUAAGCGCUAGGCCGCGGGUUCGAUUCCCG
rnacentral:tRNA from 1 species